rnacentral:rRNA from 1 species
AGAGUUUGAUCCUGGCUCAGGACGAACGCUGGCGGCGUGCUUAAUACAUGCAAGUCGAACGGAGUUAAGGGUUUCGGCCUUUAACUUAGUGGCGAACGGGUGAGUAACGUCGUGAAUAACCUGACUCAAAGAGGGGAUAACAACGGGAAACUGUUGCUAAUACCGCAUGAGACCACAACACCGCAUGAUGAAGGGGUACGAAAG